rnacentral:lncRNA from 1 species
GCCAGGAAUGCCUCCUUUUCAUUAUACUGGAUUUUGAAUUACUUUUUGGUUGCUGUGAGUUUAGAAAAUGUUUACUAUUGAAGCAUUUGAGCUCUGACACUCAACUUAAUUUAAAAUUCCUCCUUGAGCCAGUAGUGACUCUUUCUUGUCUAAACCACAUAUACUUUACUUUGUCUCUUUUCAGAGAAAGUCCUGUCCUAGCCUGGGCUCAUGCACAGCCAACCACAGGAAGUCAGAUCCAGUUUGGUGGGGCCAGAUAUCCUGAGGGAGAUUUGGAAGAGCCAGUCAAGGACAAGCAAAGAACCGGUGCACAUUUUUAACAGAUGCCUACUCCUCCUCUGUUACCUCGUUGGCCCCCAAGCAUCCAGAACUCUCACAAAACCUGGAAUGAUAAAGUUCUCAUGGGUGUCCUGAAGACAUUCUGGCCUCUCCUCCUUGCCAGGACUCUGUACUUUAAGAGAGCUGGCUAGAGAGACAUUUACUAAAAUGAAUGGACCACAGAGGUGGAAUUUCUGGAAUAAUGAGAGCUUCUUCUACAAAGGCAAUCUUUCUGGUAUUCCUAACCAUACUGUGGAAGGCUCAAGUAAGCCUGUUGGAAAAAUAAUUCAGUUCUUAAGUAAUGCCAACUGUGUCCUUUCCUGGGAAAUGCAUUGACUCGUUCACUUGUGCGGUAGAAGAUGAUUUGCACAUCCUGUUUUGUAAAAGGAUGUCCACUAAAUGGCUUGAGUAAGACCCAGCAUGACUUCUUUGAUCACUGAAAUAAUAGGAGAGGAUUUCCAAUGUUCUGACUCACCAUCUAAUGCCCUGACCCUAGCAACCAGCCCAGUCCUAGUUGUAGAAUAUGUUGGCUCUCUGUUGGCCCGCUCUCACACUCUGUC